AUGAGGCUUCAUGUCUUGUAAUUGGAAUGAGAACAAUUUAAAUCCCUUACCGAGUAUCAAUUGGAGGGCAAGUCUGGUGCCAGCAGCCGCGGUAAUUCCAGCUCCAAUAGCGUAUAUUAAAGUUGUUGCGGUUAAAAAGCUCGUAGUUGGAGUUCUGCCAGGUGACUUUCGUCCGCCCAAGUGGUGUGUACAGGGAGUGCAUCUGGCCCUUUCAAGGGGAACGUGUCUGCACUUCAUUGUGUGGUGCGAGAUCCUUGACUUUUACUUUGAGGAAAUAAGAGUGUUCCAAGCAGGCUCUCGUCGUGCAUAGCUCAGCAUGGAAUAAUAGCAUUGGACUUCGUUUCUACGCUGUUGGUUGCAAGAAGCGAGGUAAUGAUUAAUAGGGAUAGUUGGGGGCAUUCGUAUUUAACUGUCAGAGGUGAAAUUCUUGGAUUUCCGGAAGACGGACUACUGCGAAAGCAUUUACCAAGGAUGUUUUCAUUAAUCAAGAACGAAAGUUAGGGGAUCAAA
rnacentral:rRNA from 1 species